rnacentral:tRNA from 1 species
GAGGGUAUAGCUCAGUGGUAGAACACAUGUUUAGAAUGUAUGAGGUCCUGGGUUCAACCCCCAGCACCUGCA